ensembl:lncRNA
GCUGAUUCAACUUGUUAGCCAGUGUUCGUGCAGAUAACCAAGAAUAUACAACUUUCAGAUGAGACUGAAUUAAGGUAACGAUUAAUAUUGACUGCUAUUGAUGUAAAAUAUUACUAUGCCUUUAAGAGUUUAUUCGGAAGAUAACAGCUCUAUAAAUAGUAUUUUGUGAUGCCCGACUCUCUAGUUAAUUACAUUUACAUGAUUAGCUCAAUCAGGUAAUAGUAAUUACGGAGAAAUAAUUUUAUAGAAUAGCAUGUCAUGUUACUUAAUCCGGCAUAGCCAAAGGCACGACAUUAUUGGAGCCCCCUGAUAGGAAUCUAAAAUAGAAUGAUGCUUUCAUUUUGAAUCAGCCUGUGUAAAAUUGAAAACAGAUUACAUAAUAUACCAAGUUUAUCGUACACAUUUUUGGAGUGAUAGAGACAAGCAUUAUUGGGUGUGUGUGCUGAGGAUUCCCCGCCUCCGUGUUGUUCUCUGACGUAGUCAGUGGGUAACAUAAGCGAAUACAUUUCUGUAUUGAUAAAGCUAAUUAUAGAAAUUUGAGAAAUAGAGCGUUUGGCCAAACGCAGGGCUAUUUCUGCCUGGUGCGUUUCAGACGUGGGUAGGCUCGGUCAUUAUUAAUUUCUCGAGCAAGGACAAAGAGCCAGCCGAUUGAAAUUCAGGAGAUAUAAGCCAGCGAUAUAUAUCUCUGUCUCUCUCGUGAGUAGACCAAGGCGCAUUUAGUUGUUGCCGCGUGUUCCGGUUAAAACAUUGUCAAAAAAAAACGCGAAAAGGGUUUGAACAUAAUACGUUAUAAGUAAAACCUUUCCCUUACCAAGGAAUCCUAUGUGCUGCAUUUUCAGGCACAAGGGAGAUAGCCAUUUUGUUUACUUGUGCUACGUUGAAAUUCCUCCGCCUUGCGGAACGGAAGUCCCGCCCUGGGUUUUCAGUGUGUGAAAUCAUUGACCGCUGAUGUGACCUAGUAUAUUCUUUCAUGAAGAAUUAUUCAGGUCACACUCAAGUCAUUACUUAUGAUAUCCAGACGGAUAUCAACGUCUUAUCCAAUUGAACUAAUAAGUGUAAAUCUGGCAAUUUACAUUCUGAAAUAGAUAUUUUAAAGAAUAUCCAAAUUGAUGAGUUUUCUAAAUAAAACAUGGUAAACUUUUCCCAAACUAACCUAGAUGAAGCAACUUCUCAGGUUAAUUCAAUUUUAAUUCCCAAUUAGCCUAUACAGGUCUGAUUUAUCAUUAAAUUGAUCAAUCAGUAACAUUUGGUUUUUGCAAAACCCAUUCAGUAAUCCAGUACUGACAGAAGCACCGCCCCAGCGGGAAUCCCAUGUGGCUUCGGCCUUAGGGAGAAGUGUACCAUAGUGGUGAAUGUUCCCAACAUUUGAUCUACUGUUUACACUUAUAAUAUCCAAUCAAUGGAGAUUGUACGGAUUAUCGUCUCAUUCAAUUCAAUAAAUUAAAUUGUUGAACAUACCUUAAUGUUCUUCCAAUCAAAUGAGACACUUUUAAACUUCUCAUAUUAACCUAGAUGAAACAACUUCUCAGGGUAAUUAAAGUUUAAUACCCAGAUAGCCUACCCAGGUAGGAUUAAUCAUUGGCAUUGAUUAAUUAAUUAAAUUUGCUUUUGCAAAUUCAUUCACGUCCAACUUCCACAUUACUGGUACAGUACUGAUAGUUCAUCAACGUCUAUAAAUAGAUUAAACUUGUCUUUGCAGCUUCCAAUGAAUUCCAAGCCCAAACUUUGAACAAAAUAGGAAAAUAUUUCCUCUAAAUUUUUCUAAUAAUGUGCAAGCUAUCAAAGGAGGUGGUCACCACUCCUCCGCUAAUUAGUGAACCUCCACCCAUAAAAGGAUUGAUCUCUGACCUCAGCAGCGAUACCAUCCCUAAUUAUGUCAUUAGCGAAAAAAAAGCCGAAAUUGCGAAUGCUCUCCAAAAUCAACCAUCAAACACAGGCUUUGUGACGGUUCUCCCCACUUUUGCACUGAUGUAUCGCCAUAAAAAUGUGGCAUCGGUCCAAUACCACAGUGCACAGCUGAAGCACGUACCAGACAUGGCUAACAUGAGGGGUGUCGCGGUAGGGGAUUUUGCUAUAGGACCGUUAAGGUACCCCCGUCAAGAGUGAUACAAGUUGUCUCACUCAAGUUCUUAUGUCACCCUGCUAACAGGUGACUCACAGGUCCGGUCCAGACUGACCUGGUUAUGUAUCCUGCCCUUUUAUUCGGAGAUUAGCCUUGUGUGAUGCCGUUAGGCUUGUUUCGGGAUCUUAGAUAAUAUCAAUCUUUACUUUCACUUUACUUUCACUUUUCCUUUGUAUGCCCUUAUAUCUGGACUCACGCAAGCUAUAACUUGGUUACGAUUUACAGUCUAUGUCCGUCGACUAAUACUGCUUGAGUAUUAAUGUAGAGUAUCACUAUUACAAUAAAAUGAUUAUUCUGUCCAAACCAUUAUAUUGUCUUUAGUGUAGAACCUAGACUCGUUUCCCUAGAUUGGGAGUGUCAGAGGUGUUCUCUCCCAUUAGGGUUUUGGGUCUAGUUUCUACCUUUUAUUCAAUGUUUGCAGUUCACACAGUUGUACACGUUAAUACAGUUUAUUUUUGGUUCUUAAUCUAUAACAUCAAACAUCAUCAAAACACUUACUACUAUUAAUGCCUUAUAUAUGUAUUACAAGAAGCGAUUAAUUACCUUAGCGUAGGUUGACCUGGUUGGUCCCCAAAGAGGUCCUCACAAUUGUUCUAGAGGCUUAUCCAAUCACUCAGUAUCUGUUUCUCCUACUAGAAGUUUGUACUAUGAUUUACUGAUUAGUGAAGAGAACGGUUUGAGAUCAAGUCCCUUUGUAACACCACUGUUGCUAUUUAUCCACUCCUGUUAGGAACUGGAUGUAUUCAGCACAAGGAUUGUACUGGGUAGCAGUCUCAGUAUGUCUCAUCCAGAAAUCAGAAGUCAAGAGAUACAAUUGUUCUAGAGUAUGAAAGUCAGAUAUUACCUUUUAGGUUGAUGAUAGUUGAAGUAUCACAAGCUAUCUGUCAGUGAUAAGUCAAGUAGCACUAUCAUGCCUUUCCAUUGAAAGCAUGCUUCUUAUAUACUCUUUCUUCAGGACCAAGUCAACCCAUGCUCUGAAUUGUAUUUUUAAAGCGGCGUAUCCUCGUGUCCUCGCACUGAAGUGCGAGUUGCACUUCAGUGCUAGUUGCUAGUUGGAGUGCUUCUGGUGUCUGUGUCUAUGCAUCAUCUAAACCCAAAUCUUCCAUCAAGUUCACCCAGGGUGAGGUGUCCUCAAAGCUCUUUUUUUGUGCUCUUGCGUCAGGGGACAGGUGGAGAGAACUGAGCAACUAUUGACAAAAGCAGGAAAUGAAAACAUUCUGCUAGUCGAGGAACUGUGUUUGAAAUCUGAACAAUUAAAAGUAAUUGCAAAUACUUAUGACGAUGAACGAGCACUAACUCUUCAACAAAAUCGUGGUCUCCAGGAACAACUCGAUUUAGCCAAAACUAAAUACGAUGCAGUCCACUCCAAACUAGAUAAAUCUGUUGAGUUAUCUACAAACAGGAGCGCGCAAUUUGAUAACAUGCAGGUAGUUUUGUUGAACGUCACUCAGAGUAACACGGUUCUACUCAAAAUUCUGCAGACCAAAGACGAUCAGUUGAUGAACACAAUGACUAAGUUGGGUGACAAAUCAGCAGAACUCAUUGAAGCCGCUGACCAAAUGAAUGAUGAGAGAACUCGGGUGAUGAAGAUGGAAAUAUUGAUUUCCAAGCAAGAGGAAGAAAUAUCAUCACUGAAUCUCUCGCUCCGUACUCAAGACCUCUAUCUGCAAACCAUGACAGAUAAGUUUGAGACCAAAAGGAGCAAGUGCAACACUCACGUGUCCAAAAUCAGUGCUCUAAAGCACUCAAGUGGACUCUGCAAUGCAGCAGAAUACCACCCCUAGGUACCAUCUGGAGGAAGUCCAGAAUGGUCACGCUCUACAUCGUGACUAUCCAUCCAAGCAACCGGAGCCCGGUACUCAAAGGAGUGAAGACGAUAGGUUUCAGACAUUGCCUCCAUCAUGUGUCCCUCAGUCUUUUCCUCUUGGCCAUUUGGCACUGAGUAAUAUGUUGCCUCUUGGCCAACAAAGCCAAAGCUUGGCUUCUUCUCUUGGCCUUUCGGCCCCACUUUUUUUUUCUUCAGCCAAACGAUACUGAGACGUUCCUAGCUGACAUAGAGGAUGCGUUGGAUGGCUACCCGAAAGCUACGGGUUCUGACAGAGUUUACCUGUUGAAGCGAACGUCGAAUAGACACGUGACGAGGUUAAUUCGCCUACAACAGCAACACGUGCUAAAUGACUAUGCUAAACUUGCCACAGCUCUGAAAUUAGAAUUCAGUGGUUCUGUAACUCUCAAACAUGAUAGCUCACUGGCUAACACGGUCAAACAAGCUCGGAAUGAACACCCACAAGCUUACUAUCAUAUGCUUCGUUCAGCGUACUUUGGCCUACUCACUGAAACAGGCAUGGAAGAAGACAUGUUACCAUUUAAACAAAUGUUCCUGUCGAACAUGUAUCCUACCAUCAUUACCUACUUGGGCCCUGCCGCCCACGUUGGCUUGCCUAUCUUACAACUCAGAGAGCUUGCAAGCACAGCUUUUGAGGCAUCAAAAGUUCGCAACGCUAAGAGCCCUGACCAUUCGGUUUUGAAGUUUGACCAGGAGCACUCACUCCAGUUAGAGGGUGCAUUAUCAGGUAUUGGAGCGUUGAGAGAUGACGCACAACAACAGUUUCUACCACGAAACCAUGAUUCCAAUAACCUCCGCGGUCUAAAUAACUGUAAAGUACGUCGCCAUCAAAACGAUAAAAGAAAGGGUAAAAGAUAAGUCACAAGGACUAGACGAGGAACUACCGGACACCAGGUCCGCAGGAAUUAACACCCAUAGCAAGGACGUUAAAAUUCAAAUUUCGAGACCCUAUACAGGGCCCGCUUGAUCAAGAAUCAUGCCCACGGGCUUUGUCUAUAGACUCUGAUACAAAGGUUGCGAAGAAAAAGGUGAAACGCUUCGUUAAAGCCAAGCCCACUCAAAAUCUGAAAAGUCGAUUUGCUUCCACCUUGAACAGAAUUGACACAUCACGUCGUUGCGAACGACCACUCCACUUUUUGGGGAAUAUGUCCACUAAACACGAAUCGAAACGACCAUACCUGGAAACAGUCCUGGCGGACUGCUUAACUUGUCAUGUGUUAAUUGAUUCGGGUGCGACAAUAUCACUCAUCUCUCAAAUAUUGUUUGAUGAUCUAAAAACGGCUUUGAAGCCAACUAAACGUUGGUUAAAAGUGGAACGAUGCAACACUACACUUCGAGGGGUCACUCAGACUACCUCGCCUCUUACAUUGAGAGUCAUGCUGAAACUACACUUCAAGGACGUAUCGCUCGUUCACCCUGUGUAUGUUACCAGCCUCAAAACUGUACACCUCCUACUUGGAGCAGACUUGAUGGAUCGGUUACUCCCAUUGAUGGAUUGGAAAACCAACCAGGUAUGGUCACAAUCUACAGUGCCUUCUCCACCGACCACACUGUCUCCCCCUAACGCUAGCUGCAUCGCAGUCAUUCAAAAGGGGUAUCUGUCGAAAGCACCCCUUGGGAAAAAGACGUUUAGAAAACACUUGGUGCAGAAUCCGAUCCAAGGAGAUAUUACGAUAUCUCGACACAUUCCAUCAGCCAAUCUGAUUGAAAAUUAUUUUCAUGAUUUCGAGCCAGUUGUCUCUGUGAAUGAGCAACUUCCCUCCUCCUUGCAGUCCUGCAAUACGGUAGUUGAGAUGAAUUAUCCGAUGACACACCUUCCGCUUUGUGGGGGACUGUCAACCCUUACAAUGACACUAAUGGCAUCAGUCCAGCAACUGACCCGAUGACUCCCACUGGUGAAACACUUUGCGAUAUCACAGACCGACAUCCUCAUCUCAGUUUGCAGGUACUGAAGAGGUUGCCACACGCGGACGCGGUGGUGACUGACAGACCUCGACAGCCACUGAGGGUGUUGAAGCACAAACACCAGGAGAUUUGGUUGAAAGGUUACAGCCACUCUCAUAAUAACGCGGCCACUGACAACUCAUACAUGGGGUCCGAAAUGUUUGUUUGCGCCUCAGAUACCAACACCACCCGCUGGUGGGGGGAUCCCGAGACACAAAUGGGGGGAAUAGUAGCCCAGACCCAUGAUGAGCCUUAUCGAGGCCUGUGGAGGGGGGGUCGAGACUACGGACAACACCUUACGCGGCAACCAGAGCAUAAAUCAAAUCUAGUUGUAAACUCCCCUUUGAGAACAGUGAGGAGCAGACAGGCCCCUAGACGGGGAUUAUCUUAGAACACAUCUAAGAUAGUACUGAGGUGUACCACACUGGUCGUAAAGGAAGUCCAGUGGACUUGUCCACCUCCAAAACAAAUGGCAACACUAAUCAUUCCUUGCCGUGCUUCUACACCUGCAUUGCUUGCUAUCUGGGGUUUUAGGCUGGGUUUCUGUACAGCACUUUGAGAUAUCAGCUGAUGUACGAAGGGCUAUAUAAAUACAUUUGAUUUGAUUUGAUGUGUAGUAGUCACUACAAGACAACUAGUAAAAUGCUCUAAUCAUGUAUUCCUGUCGGAUAACAUUUCAGAAUAAAUCGGUAGGACAACUGGACCCCUUGAGUACCAGUACCAAUACCACGGUCAGUCCAGCAACACUCAGUAAGAGGAUUAGUAACCUCACAAGUUAAAUUGCUAUUGAUAAUAGCAACAUAGGAGUCACUCAGAGUGCAACACGGGGAAGGGAAUCUCCAUUGCACUCUUCCAAUGGUUAACACACAUGCCACUAAUAAAUAGAACCCUCCAUUCAGGAGAAAAGUUAUUAGAAGUCAUGAACCACGAUCACCCCACGUACGACUGGUCUAAUACUUAGAGUACUUCCGUCAUGAUGUUAGCUCCUCCGUGGAUAACAUAGCUAUGAAGUAUACUUCUUCAUACCUACCGCCACUACAACAGUGGAAGACAGUGACUGGUAGUAAAACCACUACAGACUCCCUCGACACCAAUUCUGACUGACCUCCAGGCAUUGACCUGAAAAUUACCUGACUACGUCAGACUCAUUCUGAACAAGUUGUAAUCUGCCAGGAUAAUUGGUUUCCUUCCUUUGACAUGUGCGCUUGCGUAAACAUGAACUCACAUGAACAACGGAACAUCCAAUUAGGAUUUAUGCUAGGAUCACUUAAGGGUCCGAGCAAAAUACCAGCCUUAGCAAAGUUUAACAUUUAUUUUGAGGCCUUUUUAUCUCUACAGCUACAGCACUCACCAGUUUUCUUCUCAGAAGUCUAUAGGUCAUCCCUGUUGACUGCCCAAAACUAGUGCCUUACAGCUGUAGACUUAUCAUAUAGUUAUCAACUUAGGAUAGUACCCUAAGCAACACCCCGCAAAGUAGGAAAGCCCUAGAUAUGAAAUUAGACAAUGCCAUGAUAGGGUCAUUUUUCCAAGACCAUGGACAUAGAUAGAAUACAGUCCAAUUAGAUGAUUAAGGGGGCAUAACUAUAUUUGGUUUUGUUUAUGCUUUCAUUCAUUUUGUUUCAUUUUCUUCGGCACGUAGAAAGUGAUAGAGUCAUAAACAACUUCCCCAUACAACCACAACGCCGCUCAUUUGGGAGGAAAUGUAAUGAUAUAUUUCAUGAGUGUGUGUGCGUUGUUAACAUCUGCCUAAGUUACUGCCCAGAUCUUCCAGUCUGGAGGACCAGACGAUGGGUCCGGAACGGCGAUCCCAAUCCGGACACCCGCUGCCGAGCCAUGGAGCGGACUUCUUCAUUUGCAGACACCCUACCCGGGUCGACCACACCAGAGGGGGGAGACUGCAGUGGCAUUCCCAAUCCGGACACCCGCUGCCGAGCCAUGGAGCGGACUUCUUCAUUUGCAGACACCCUACCCGGGUCGACCACCAGAGGGGGGAGACUGCAAUGGCGCUCCCAAUCCGGACAUCCGCUGCCGAGCCAUGGA